AACUUUCACUAACUAUUCCCCUUGUGGCUGACAUUUCUUGAUUUUUCUCUUAUCAGUUCCUUCUCAGCCAACCACUUGAAGUGCCUAUGGUCCAGGACAUCAGAAGCCAAAAAGAAAAAAUUGCAAAAGAGCUUCUCUCCUAGGGGCGCCUGGGUGGCUCAGUCAGUUAAGCGUCUGACUUUGGCUCAGGUCAUAAGGUCACAGCCAGUGAGUUCCAGUCCCGCAUCGGGCUCUAUGCUGACAGCUCCGAGCCUGGAGCCUGCUUCAGACUCUGUGUCUCCCUCUCUCUCUGCUCCUCCCCGACUCACGCUCUCUCUCUGUCUCUCAAAGAUGAAUAAAUGUGAAAAAAAAAAUUAAAAAAAAAAAAAGAGCUUCUCUCCUGGUAACAUGAUCUCUUUUCCCAGAUUUGGAAGACAGAAGCAAAGGAGAGUCACAAAAGCCAGUUUUGUCACCCUGAGUCCUGCUAACUAGCUGACAGCCUCUGGCACACGCUGAUCUGGGGAUGCAGAGGAGGCCACAGGAGUGCCCAGGAGCCUGAAGAUGGAACAGAGAAAAUGGAGAAACCAGAGUAUGCGGGGUAGAGCUUGAUCAAUAGUUAAGGUUGGUUUGAUUUUCACUUUUACAGUUAUCUGUUUUCAAAUGCUCUGAAAAUACGUUCUAGGAACAUUUAUAGCCAUUGUGGCUUCUUGACACUGUGGUGUUCAGAAUAAUCCCAAGUGCCUCUGCCAGCUGAGAGACACACACACAACUAUGGGACAAAACAGAGUAGUAAUUUGAGCAAAAAGCCCAAACCAGGAGCUCUGAAAUGGCAACCUACCAUUUGUUUAGAAUUUAUAAGCUGCAAGCUAAGUUAGUCUUGAGUCCCACCUUAACUUCAUACCUCUCACCACCUGUGCAUAAUCUUGUUCUACAGAUCCUGUUUUCUCAACUAUCAAUCUACCCCUCAUAAAAUCGGCAUCAGUUAACACAAAACCCAGGGUGUGGCUUUCAGACCCAAAGUCCCUACUCUGAUCUGUGAGUAUCCACAUGAUUCGGCCCCUGCCUACUUCUAAUGACUUCAUCCCUUACCACAUCCCUGUGACUUGCUACACUUGACCCAUACGAACAGGCGCACUUCAAUCUUAGGAAGCUCACACCAGCAGUCUCUUGGUUUGGAACAUUCCUGCCCUCCUCCUUCCUGCCCCUGCUAUUUUCUCAUAGCUGCUUCUUCCCUACCAUUGAGAUUUCAACUUAAAUGUCAUCUAUGCAUUGAGGACUCUGAGCAGAAAGUAAAGUAGGCUCUCAGUCACUUUAUUAUGUCAUCUUGUUUUACUUUCCUCACAGUAGUUAUUAUUGUGUUCAUUGAUCUGUUGCCUGCCUCCUCAAUUAGAAUGCAACCUCCAUGAGGGUAUAGAUCCUGACUGUCUUGUCAAUUUGGUAUUCCCAAUGCCUACAGUGAUGCUGGCACAUAAAAAGAUGAUUUAAACAAGUUUGAGCUGAGGCUUCCUGGCCAUGACCUUGUCAUUGCCAUGAGUUAAAGAGGACAGUAGGGUACAUGUACCAGCCAGUUCCACUGGAGACAGAGUUCAACAUAAUGACCUAUACUGGAAAAACCAGCCCUCAUGCAACUCACUGGAUCCCCUGCUGCUAGGGGCACUUUAUAGAUCAGAAUCUGUUACCUGCAUGUGAGAAAGUACUGCAUUUUUUAGCAGGUACAAUCUAGAACCACUAUAUAUUUGAAGGUCUUCCCCCUGAUCUCCAGGCAAACUCCAAAAUAUUUCUCUAAUUUGAAAAAGAGGCCAUGAAGGACAGCUGGAGUUGUGAGAUUAAAGUGCUUAUUAAAUGCAUUUUAAAAAACUCCCAUGGGAAAAACUACUGAUAGAUACUUUUUCAUUACCUAUGACCCUCUUCCUUGCUAGAAGUGCAUAUAAGACAUGCUGUCUACUAGGCAAUACACUAAAGACAUACACUUGCUGAGCCAAGGUAGGAAAUUAUGCAUUAAACUACUGAUAUGAUUAGGUAGUGACUUGACCAAAUAUUUCUACUAUCUCUGUUGACUACAGAAUAAUACUCAAAAGUGUUAGUUUUAGGAAAUACAAUUCCUUAGUUAAUUGGGAAUAUGAACUCUUGGCAA